rnacentral:lncRNA from 10 species
GGCAACCAGCUUGGGUCUGCUCCCACGCUGUUGGGGCGGGGGCGGGGGGGGGGUUGUUCUUUUGCUCCUUGGGUCCACACUGCGUUUAUGAGCUGUAAUAUUCACCGCAAAGGUCUGCAGCUUCACUACUAAGCCAACGAGACCACAAACCCACCAGGAGGAACGACAAUUCCAGACGCGUGGCUUUAACAGCUGUUAACACUCACCGCGAAGGUCUGUAGCUUCAUUUCUGAGUCAGCGAGACCACGAACCCACCAGAAAGAAGAAACUCCGAACACACCCGAACCUCAGAAGGAACAAAUUCCGGACACGCCGCCUUUAAGAACUGUAACACUCACCACAAGGGUCCGCGGCUUCAUUCUUGAAGUCAGUGAGACCAAGAACCCACUAAUUCCGGACACACUUUGACCAGCAGAGCAGGCAGAAGUAAAGCCACGGUUCACAGAAGUGCCUGGGAGAAGCAGCAGCCCCGGGAGAGGCUUAACUAGCAGAGCACUGAGGCCCACCGACAGCCAUGUGCAUGAGCUUGGAAGCACAUCUCCCCAACCCACCCCAGUCAAGCCUGCAGAUGAGACCUCAGCUGCAGCUGACAACUCGGCUACAACUUUGUGAGAGACCUGGAGCCAAAAGCACCUAGCUAAGCUGUGCCUGUAUUUCUGACCCACAGAAACUCUGAGUUGUUCCAGCUUUUGCCAGUGGAAGCCCCUCCAAGAUGGAGAAGCUCUACUUUAAAUUCCAGGCCCCUAAGGAAAGCUCUGGAUCUCCAGGCCUGCCCCCUAUCUCUACAGCCCAGAGGAGGUGACAUUAACCAGUGCAUCUGAGUGGUGCAGAGGAAAACUGACUUUGAUGUCCAUAUAAACCCAGUGCCCAGGUCAUGUCUGUUCUCCACUGGCAAUGGGCUGAGCAGAGCCAAGUUCUCAGUUAACUUCCCCAGCCCUCCCUCCUGCCUAACUCCAUUCCCACCCCCGACUUGAACUUCCUAAAGGCAGUGAGUGAGAUUAAAGGCUUGAUCAAUGAAAACUAUUAUUAUUGUUUACUCCUGAGCCUUCUGAUGUUAUUGCAUUGCAAGAAAGCUGUCUGGGCCUCCACCAGGAAUAAUAACACAACCUUUCUUCCAGUUUGGGAGGCAUUGGAGGCUCCUUACACAUGAUCACUCCUAUUCUUUCCUCUACUCAGGCCCAGCUUACCCCACCCCCAGCAACCUCCCCUUCCCAUCCCUUUCAUUCUCCCCAUUGAGACUGGAUGUUAAGGUUCUCUAAAAGCCCAUGGGUUGAGCAUUUCACAUCUCUCUUAUAAAGACAGUGAAGCUGCAUCUCAGUGAGGUAUUUUCUCACUCCACCACCCCAGGCCUACGGUAGAGCAAAGAAUGGAUCAUGUGUAACAGCCUAAGAGAAACUCAGGUGUGCAACAGAGAAGCUGGGUAUCCUUCCGCUAUCAGCUUCUCUCAGCAAAGGGGCCUCCCUGUGUGUGUCCUGCCUCUACUAGGCUUGGCCUGUUUUGUUUGCCCUAAGAAUGUUCACACCAAUUGUUUAGCAACAGCAGGCAGAAAUCACUGUAGGGAAAACAGCUGUCACCAGACCCUCUCAGCAUUACCAGGUGCCUGGGAGUGUUUCCCUGCACACACUCUCCAUUGGGGCACGUGCAGCACACAUAUGCACAUGUCUCUCCACCCUCUCAGAAGACCCUCUCAUGUCGACUUCUCCCUCACAAUCCCCACUCACACAGCCCUCUCCUAACUGCCAGCCCUCAGCUGACUUGAGGAAGUCAGGUUAACUUCUCAGACUGGCCUCUACUUGCCAGGGACUAUGCUGGGGCAUUGCAAGCCACUGAUGCUCAGCCGUGCAGCCUCACAGCUGAGGGCAAGCACUCCUGCCCUCUAUUCAGUUCAACAGACAUUACCCAGUGUUAUAGACUGAACUGUGCCUGCUCCCUGCCCGGCCCCAAAUUCAUAUGUUGAAGCCCUAACCCCCAGUGUGACUAUAUUUGGAAACAGGGACUUUAGAGAGGUCAUGAAGGUAAAAUGAGAUCACAAGGUGUGGCUCUAGUCCAAUAGGACUGGUGUUCUUAUGAGAAGAGGUAGAAACACCAGGAGUAAGUGUACACAGAAGAAAGGCCAUGUGAAGACACAGCAGAAGGUGCCCAUCUCCAAGCCCAAGAGAGAGGCUUCAGGAGAAACCAACAUUGCUAACACCUUGAUCUUGGACUUCCAGCCUCCAAAACUAUGAGAAAAUAAAUUUAUGUUUUUAAGCCACUCAUUCUGUGCUAUUUUGUUGUGGCAGCCCCAGCCAACUAAUACACCUAGACUUACCUACCUUUACCCAGACCCUUAAGAGAUGAGAGAUAUGAAGAUGAAUAUGGCAUGACUUCUGUCCUCAGCGGUUUAAAA